GACGAACGCUGGCGGCGUGCUUAACACAUGCAAGUCGAACGGUAAGGCCCUUCGGGGUACACGAGUGGCGAACGGGUGAGUAACACGUGGGUGAUCUGCCCUGCACUUCGGGAUAAGCCUGGGAAACUGGGUCUAAUACCGGAUAGGACCACUGCCUGCAUGGGUGGUGGUGGAAAGCUUUUGCGGUGUGGGAUGGGCCCGCGGCCUAUCAGCUUGUUGGUGGGGUGAUGGCCUACCAAGGCGACGACGGGUAGCCGGCCCGAGUGGGUGACCGGCCACACUGGGACUGAGAUACGGCCCAGACUCCUACGGGAGGCAGCAGUGGGGAAUAUUGCACAAUGGGCGCAAGCCUGAUGCAGCGACGCCGCGUGAGGGAUGACGGCCUUCGGGUUGUAAACCUCUUUCAGCACCGACGAAGCGCAAGUGACGGUAGGUGCAGAAGAAGGACCGGCCAACUACGUGCCAGCCGCCGCAGUAA
rnacentral:rRNA from 1 species